rnacentral:tRNA from 1 species
GUGGCUGUGGCUCAAUGGUAGAGCAUUUGCCUAACAUGUGUGAGGCACUGGGUUCGAUCCUCAGCACCACA